CCUACGGGAGGCAGCAGUGAGGAAUAUUGGUCAAUGGACGCGAGUCUGAACCAGCCAAGCCGCGUGCGGGAGGACGGCUCUAUGAGUUGUAAACUGCUUUUGUAAGAGAAUAAAGACCGGUACGUGUAUCGGGAUGAGUGUAUCGUACGAAUAAGGAUCGGCUAACUCCGUGCCAGCAGCCGCGGUAAUACGGAGGAUGCGAGCGUUAUCCGGAUUUAUUGGGUUUAAAGGGUGCGUAGGCGGUUGGCUAAGUUAGAGGUGAAAGCUCGGGGCUUAACCCCGGCACUGCCUUUGAGACUGGCGGGCUCGAGUUUAGUUGCGGUAGGCGGAAUGCGUGGUGUAGCGGUGAAAUGCAUAGAGAUCACACAGAACACCGAUUGCGAAGGCAGCUUACCAAACUACGACUGACGUUGAGGCACGAAAGCGUGGGGAGCAAACAGGAUUAGAUACCCGAGUAGUC
rnacentral:rRNA from 1 species